ACCACCAGGGAUUGCCCUAGUAACGGCGAGUGAAGCGGCAACAGCUCAAAUUUGAAAUCUGGCUCCUUUGGGGUCCGAGUUGUAAUUUGCAGAGGGAGCUUUUGGCGUCGGUCGUGGUCUAAGUUCCUUGGAACAGGACGUCACAGAGGGUGAGAAUCCCGUACGUGGCCGCCGGCCUUCGCCUUGUAAAGCCCCUUCGACGAGUCGAGUUGUUUGGGAAUGCAGCUCUAAAUGGGAGGUAAAUUUCUUCUAAAGCUAAAUACCCGCCAGAGACCGAUAGCGCACAAGUAGAGUGAUCGAAAGAUGAAAAGCACUUUGGAAAGAGAGUGAAAAAGCACGUGAAAUUGUUGAAAGGGAAGCGCUUGCGGCCAGACGUGCCCGCGGUUGAUCAUCCAGGCUCCAGCCUGGUGCACUCCUCCGCGGGCAGGCCAGCAUCAGUUCGGGCGGUCGGAUAAAGGCCUCUAUCACGUACCACCCCUCGGGGUGGCCUUAUAGGGGAGGCGCAACACGGCCAGCCCGGACUGAGGUUCCGCGCAUCUGCUAGGAUGCUGGCGUAAUGGCAGCAAGCGGCCCGUCUUGAAACACGGACCAAGGAGUCUAACAUCUAUGCGAGUGUUUGGGUGUCAAGCCCGAGCGCGCAAUGAAAGUGAACGGAGGUGGGAACCCUUACCGGUGCACCAUCGACCGAUCCUGAUGUCUUCGGAUGGAUUUGAGUAAGAGCAUAGCUGUUGGGACCCGAAAGAUGGUGAACUAUGCCUGAAUAGGGUGAAGCCAGAGGAAACUCUGGUGGAGGCUCGCAGCGGUUCUGACGUGCAAAUCGAUCGUCAAAUUUGGGCAUA
rnacentral:rRNA from 1 species